GGGUUGUGGCUCAGUGGUAGAGCACUUGCCUAGCAUGCAGGAGGCACUGGGUUUGAUACCUGGUCCCA
rfam:Ictidomys tridecemlineatus contig015677, whole genome shotgun sequence.